rnacentral:rRNA from 1 species
AUGUGGAUUGGAAGAACUUCAGCAAUGGGUUACAUGGUGGUAGCCAUGUUGAUAUGCUUUUUAUGUGCAUCCAGCGGUCUCACUUCAGUAGAUUCAUAUGAACGCUUGCAAAACAAUGGGACGUUUUUAACAUCACCAAGGUCAACCUCGUUUGUGUUAGCUGGGAGGAACAAAUACAAAGGCAACAAUGAUUACAAUCAUGUAGCUGGCUGGGUCACGCCAGCAAGCAGCUACGGCGCUCGAGUUAAAAUAGGUAUAUGGGGUUCGCAAGUACAACAUCAUUCCCAAGAAUCCGGGGCAGCAAUAAGUAUCAGCACUGAUGAUCAAGAUAAGACCUACAAUAUGAUCGAAGCUGGAUUUCAUGUACUUCCUGAGUUAUAUAAUAAUAAUGAUGUCCAUUUCUUUAUACGAUGGACGAAAGACGACAACAAAUCAACGGGCUGUUAUAAUUUGGAAUGCCAUGGUUUUGUGCCUGCUAGUGGAGCUGCACUUGUUCCGGGUCAAGCUGUUGCUCCUCCCUCAACUUACGGCCGGGACGAUCGCUACAUAACAAUUAGCCUGCAUACAGAUCCAAACACGAGAGAUUGGGUGUUGUAUCGAGACGAUUUGCAUAAACCUGCAUUUUUGGGGCAUUUUCCAAAAGAGCUUUGUCCUAGACUGUAUGGUAUAGCCCCCGAAGUAGCAUUGCUUGGAUUUGUCAAUUACCAGGAUAAGGAUAAAGGUGGUCCCGCAAUGGGUAGCGGUCAUUUUCCAGAAGAGGGCCAAAGGAAAGCAGCAUACUUUAAGAAUAUCAAGCUCUUUGAUUCCAAAGCUAAUGUAUAUGAUCCGAGUGGCUUGGUUAGACUUGUCACCAGGCCAGCAUGUUACAAAGUGAGUGACGUUCUCCAUGCUAAAAAGGACGGCCAUAUGUUUUACUAUGGAGGUCCAGCUGGUUGUAUGGGUUGA